UACGUAGGGUCCGAGCGUUGUCCGGAAUUACUGGGCGUAAAGGGCGCGUAGGCGGUUCGCUAAGUUGCUGGUGAAAUCCCGGGGGCUCAACUCCGGGGCUGCCGGUAAGACUGGCGGGCUCGAGCACGGUAGAGGCAGAUGGAAUUCCCGGUGUAGCGGUGGAAUGCGUAGAUAUCGGGAAGAAUGACCGGUGGCGAAGGC
rnacentral:rRNA from 1 species